rnacentral:rRNA from 1 species
CAGCCGCCGCGGUAAUACCGGCGGCCCGAGUGGCGGUCACUAUUAUUGGGCUUAAAGCGUCCGUAGCCGGGUUGGGAAGUCCUCCGGGAAAUCUGGCCGCUUAACGGUCAGAAUGCCGGAGGAUACUCCCAGCCUAGGGAGCGGGAGAGGCCGAGGGUAUUCCCGGAGUAGGGGUGAAAUCCUAUAAUCCCGGGAGGACCACCUGUGGCGAAGGCGCUCGGCUGGAACGCGUCCGACGGUGAGGGACGAAGGCUAGGGGAGCAAACCGGAUUAGAUACCCGGGUAGUCCUGGCUGUAAACGAUGCGGACUUUGUGUCGGACAAGCUAUGAGCUUGUCCGGUGCCGGAGGGAAACCGUUAAGUCCGCCGCCUGGGGAGUACGGCCGCAAGGCUGAAACUUAAAGGAAUUGGCGGG